rnacentral:lncRNA from 1 species
AGUGACCGCAGGGUCAACCCCGAGAGUCUGUCAGGCCCUCAACACUUCUACUUCUGAAUGUUCGCCAGUUCUUGAAUCCUCAAGCUAACCAAAGCCUUAUAUAGAAUCGGCUCUGGCUUUGUUGUGGAAGAUUGUGCUGCCAGAGUGUGAAAAUUGUUAUAGAGCAUCACUUGUGUGUUUGAUCGGCGACAGAUCACUUACAAGCACUUCACAUUUGACCCUGAUGCUUCAGAUACUGGUAUGGGAGGCUACAGUGAGAGGACUGCCAUCUGUGAACCUGAAAGUGGGCUCCCAUUAGACUGAAUCUGCCAGCACCUUGAUCUUGACAUCCUAGUCUUCAGAACUGUACCACUUUCUUUCUACUGCUGAACUUAAAUCUUGUGGUCAUCACCAGUGUUUAUGGUCGUGAAUGUCAGCAUUAACAUCAGCAGUAUCUGGAUUUUUGCUGUGAAAAAUCAGCCAAAUAGAUCCCCACAAUAAAAAAAAAAAAAAGAAGAAGAAGAAGAAGCAAACUACUCAAUGAUGUAGUGCCAUUAGUUCCCUACAGUUUGUAAUUCAACUCACAAAAGCACUAUGAACAAUUUCAUCUAUAAAAUCAGACAUUCAGCAGCUAACCCAAAAGCCUGUUAGGGCUGAAUUUGGGUGAAUGCACACAGACAACAUUACUAUACAUUGUUCAGUUAGUAUCUACUGACACCAUACUCCUUGUAGAGCACUGUAAUGCAAGCUGGGUUUCAGUCUCUAUUGGGCUCCAUGUUGUCUUAAGCCACUCGCCACUAUAUCUCUCAGAGGAAGGACUUUGGAGAUAGGGUGUCUGGGUUCCAAUUUGGCACAUGCUAGCCAAGCAACUCCUUGAUAAUCCUCAGUGUCUUUAUGAAGGAAAAUUAAAAGAAUACUUAUAUGGUUUAGGGAAGGUGAAAUAAGAUAAUAUUCUAAAUACCUAAGCAUAUUACCUAGAAAGUAAUGUGGAAUUGGACACAUUUAAGCACCAAGCAUUGUGAUUCACUUUGGCUAAAAUAAAACCAUAAACCAAGUAUUUUAAUAAUACUUAAUGAGAAACCUUUAGGAGGGAUAACUGUUUUUGACAUAAGUGCUUUUGAGUAUCUAGGAUGCAGGGUUCUUCAUUAAUCCUUACUGAAAAGAUAAUAGAGAAGGUUGAAAAAUAUUUAUGGAUCAAUUACCGUAAAGGCACAAGGUAUAAAGAGCAUUAGCCAUGUACCGAUCUAACUGAAUCUAUACAUAUUCUUUAUCCUGCCUUCGUAAAAUUGAUUUGGAGGCAAGUUUGUUGCAAAUGGAAGAAAUUCUCUAGUAACAUUCUGUUUGCAUUUUCAAAGUUUUAUUUUUAUCCUCAGUGCAAUGUAAUCCUUAACCUCAAGACUAUAAUUACUAAGGGCUUGUUGUACAUGCUUUUUUGUAGAAAAAUCUUAUCUGUUAGGGUAUUUAUUAUAGAAAAUUGAAUUUACUCACCAAUUUUUAAAGUACACAGUAGCUCUCUGAUGUUUAGUUCAAUAUCUAUGCCUGUCCUUGCUAAAUGUUGUAAUGCAACUACUAUAUUGUGGAAUUGAUUUACUUGUCCAUCUCAUAGAUUUUUAAUUUUUUUCCCUUUGAAACUCUUUGUGAAAAUAAAUUUGUAACUCAACACAUUCAUCUCUAAACAAAUACAGAGAUUCUUCUACAACGAAUGGUAAGUAUAAGCCAAUGUUGACUUUAUCUAGUAAGAUUAGUCCUUUCAUUAUGUAUUCUCUCUUCUAUGGUCUGAAAACUGCUCCAAGGCUGAAAGAAUAAUGAAGGUGGUUUCAUUUUGCUUUCUCUUAGGGGAAAACAGAGUUUAACACACCAGGGCUCAGAAUUGAGUUAAUUGUCCUGGCAGAAGCGGAGCCUUUGUCUUAACCCUUGUCCCUACCUUCCUAUAAUAAUUGCCUACAAAUACGGAGGCCCUCCUUAGAAUUUGGAGCUGUACAUACUCUUUCUCUUUCCAUUACUAAGUAUUGGUGUCCUGACCCAAGCUUAUGGCUGGUGUCCGACACCUGCUGAGGGGUCUCCAAGUCCCAGUGUCUGCUGGUCUGCCUGCAUCUCUGAACAAGAUCUUUUACAAGAUUCCCUAGGCACUUGGCUGUCAAAGAAAUAACCAAACAUAAUAAAAGCUGAGUUAUUUGAAAAUCAGAUAAGUUGAAGAAAUUUUGUAAAUUGAAACAUCUCCAAAAUGGCAAUUUCCAAAUCUGAACCUAAAACUUCAGAUUCUAAAUCCAUGACCCUCAAAAAUAUACCACACUGUCUAAAUUAAUUCUGUCUCUUUAGAUAUUGUGGUGUCUAAGAAAAGUAUUGUAAUUUAUUAAAGAAAUAUUUUAUUGUGACUAAAUACAUACUGGGGAGGGAGAUAACUGAAAAAUAUGUGUGUUAUACUCAUUGUUAAACUAGUAUAUCCAAAAAAUAUUUGAAAUAAAAUCUGUUUAUUUUUA